GUAGGGAAUAUUGGACAAUGGGGGGAACCCUGAUCCAGCCAUGCCGCGUGGAGGAAGACUGCCCUCUGGGUUGUAAACUCCUUUUAUAUGGGAAGAACCGUCCUCAUUAAUGAGUGACCUGACGGUACCAUAGGAAUAAGCACCGGCUAACUCCGUGCCAGCAGCCGCGGUAAUACGGAGGGUGCAAGCGUUAUCCGGAUUCACUGGGUUUAAAGGGUGCGUAGGCGGAUAAAUAAGUCAGUGGUGAAAUCAACGGGCUCAACCUGUUAACUGCCAUUGAUACUGUGUAUCUUGAAUAUGAGAGAGGUAGGCGGAAUGUUGCAUGUAGCGGUGAAAUGCUUAGAUAUGCUACGGAACACCGAUUGCGAAGGCAGCUUACUAUUUCGUAAUUGACGCUGAGGCACGGAAGCGUGGGUAGCGAACAGGAUUAGAUACCCCUGUAGUCC
rnacentral:rRNA from 1 species